rnacentral:rRNA from 1 species
AGUGAACGCUGGCGGUAGGCCUAACACAUGCAAGUCGAACGGCAGCACAGUAAGAGCUUGCUCUUACGGGUGGCGAGUGGCGGACGGGUGAGGAAUACAUCGGAAUCUACUUUUUCGUGGGGGAUAACGUAGGGAAACUUACGCUAAUACCGCAUACGACCUACGGGUGAAAGCAGGGGAUCUUCGGACCUUGCGCGAUUGAAUGAGCCGAUGUCGGAUUAGCUAGUUGGCGGGGUAAAGGCCCACCAAGGCGAAGAUCCGUAGCUGGUCUGAGAGGAUGAUCCGCCACACUGGAACUGAGACACGGUCCAGACUCCUACGGGAGGCAGCAGUGGGGAAUAUUGGACAAUGGGCGCAAGCCUGAUCCAGCCAUACCGCGUGGGUGAAGAAGGCCUUCGGGUUGUAAAGCCCUUUUGUUGGGAAAGAAAAGCAGCAGGUUAAUACCCCGCUGUUCUGACGGUACCCAAAGAAUAAGCACCGGCUAACUUCGUG